rnacentral:misc_RNA from 1 species
CCUUUACGAAUCAAGGCCCUUGCCUACAAGAUAACGACUCAGGUUUAUCUAAGUCUUUAAUUAGUUUUAUUUUGAAUGCAAGAAAGAACCAAGCAAUAGAGUCCUAUCCAGUUCUAGAGAGCAUGGAACUCGAAGAUGGCUAAGUAACUCAACAUUUUGAAAAGAAUGAAAAUUGCAAGCAUGCAUACCCAGUGAACAAUGUUCAUUUCAGCACCAAAAUCUUCUGUUGAGACAGGCUUUUUUCCAGAGAUCAGUUCCAGGAGAACAACUCCAAAACUGUAGACAUCACUCUUUUCUGUCAAUUGCUGAUUUGCAUAAUACUCAGGAUCAAGGUAACCGACUGUUCCUCUAGCCACACUUGAUAUAUGGGUUAGAUCAUCUUCAGCUUGCCUUGAAAGUCCAAAAUCUGACACUUUUGCCCUCAUAUUGAUGUCUAGGAGGAUGUUGCUUGUUUUUACAUCUCUGUGUAUAAUACUGGGGUUGCAUCCAGUAUGCAAGUAUUCAAGGCCUUUAGCAGCAUCUUCAGCAAUCUGCAGUCUAGUUAGCCAAUCCAAGCGUGUCUGGUUGUCAGAACCUGCCAAUACAUCAAGUCAUUGAUUUCAAUUCAAGGCGUUACUAUCAAACAGUUAGGAGGAUGGCAGAUAGACGGAUUAAUAUACGCAGAGACUGAUUAAUCUAUGCAGACCAUGAAGGUGAUCCCGCAAAGUUCCAUUAUGCAUAUAUUCAUAAACCAGAAUAUUUUGGUGUUCUUCUUCACAGAAUCCAAUUAAGGGAACCAAGUUCCUGUGAUGAAUUCUUGACAAGAGGGAAACCUCUGUCACAAACUGCUGUGUUAGACUGCUAGAUGAAUCAGCCAUUAUCUUGACAGCCACUUCUUUCCCGUCUUUCAUUUGGCCAUAGUAGACAGUCCCAAAACUCCCUUUUCCAAUUUUCUUGGAAAAAUUUUUAGUAGCUUCUUCAAGUUCAGAGAAUGAAAUAUAGUAUGAAAUACCAUCAUCCACAAAAUGCCAACCCCGAGCAAUUGAAUAAGCGUUUGAAGGUUUAGUACUGGUGAGUAAAGAGCUACCUGGUGGAUGCAACAAAAAUAAGCAAAAUGCAGAAGACUAAGCAGCAUAACAAGUAAAAACUGAGUUGUGCAUACCUUGGCCAUUGCUUUUGUGAUGCGAUGUCUUCCUUUGCAGAUUAUGUAGGUAUACUAAACUUCCUAACAACAGAACUAAUAGAACUGCAAGUAUGCUAAUCGAAGUUCCGAGUAUCAAUUUAAAAUGCAUCUUUUUUGCUGCAUCUUUGUGUAGUUCAGGAUUAUUUUCAUAGCUGCAAGAUAAACUCUUUAUAAAUUCUCUAUGACAUACUAUUGUUUUGAUUAAUACAUCGAAUCCGUUAUUCACAGGCUUAAUUUAGAAAUUCAGGUUCAAAUCAUUGCAGAUUUCUAUUUGAAGUAACAAGAAACAUACUUAAUAAUUACUUUCCCAGUCAACAGUGCUGGAGGUACUUCCCCACUAAAAGAGUUGUUCUGUAUGUACCUGCCACAGAUGAUUUUCACAAAUUAUGGGGCACCCUAUUUAUUCAUCAUGGGGAGAAAAUGCUUACAUUACAUCACAUUAAAGCACACUGUCACUGGAUGCACUUCCUCAUUAUCUGUGAUCAAAUAUCCAGUGAAAUGUGGACUGCCUUCUCUAGCAAUUAAUAAUGUUAAAGUCCAUAUUGUCACUUACAAUUCCCUUAAGGUUGGCAAACCACCUAGAUACUUAGGUAAUGAACCAGACAGUUUGUUGUUCUCAAGAUGCACAAUUUUCAAAUUAACAAGAUGGCUCAUAUCAGGUAGUGGUCCUGUAAGGAAGUUACCAUCCAACCACAACUCUGUCAAUUCCUCCAUGUUGUUGAUCUCAGAUGGGAUUUCCCCUUUCAAAUUUUCUCCUGACAGUGCAAUUUUUGUGAUUCUUGGUGGUGUAGUUGAGGAACAAUUCACCCAUUCCCACUGAGCUGGGACACAAGGAUCACCUCCUUCAUUUGUCCAAGAACUUCCAGCAGACAUGGAACGAAGGAAAUUGAGAACGGCCACAUCUUGGCUUUCUGUCUUCGAUUCGAUCUUCAGGUAUUUACUAAUCUCAAUUGCAUUGAGGAGUGGUCCUUGAGUAGAAUCGCGAGUCUUAACAAACGAAAAUGACAGAACAAAAUCUAGACUCACAUUCAUGUAGCUGGGUUCAUAAAGUCUGUAGCUCCCAUUGGCAUUUUCUGCAAUAUUUACCACUGCAUUGCUAUAGUCAGACAUAUCAGGAUGCAUUAUCAGUUUGAAUUUCCGCGUCUCAUUAGCUCCCAAGUCUUCAAUUUCAGCAAAAUAUGCAUAUGCUCUGGCGUUCGCGGGGAAAUCUUCGAGGUUCAAUCUAUAGCUGAGUGUUCCUUCUUUGCCAACAACAGCUGUUUGCAUUACUUUGACAGGAGGGUAUUCUCUUGUCUGAAUAUCUAUAUUCUUUGAUGUAUUGAUUCCAACUGUGCCAGGGGCCAUCCCUACAAGGAAAUUUUGCCUUUUAACAAGAUCUGAGUCCCAAAUUCUAUCAUAAGGAUCAUCUGGGUACCUUAAGGCAUCUUCAGUUGGAGCACCAAAAUUUACUCUAGCUGCUAAUUUUAAGAAGAAACUAUCCUCAUAAUCAGUUGCAUACAUAGAAAGGUUCAGAGGCCGAAGCUCGACAGUGGAAAUGAAGGGAGAACCAGUUGUAGCACAGCAGAUGCACACAUCAAUAGAACUCGAGGGAGCCCUGAUGAUCAUUUCCUCAACAUAAAUUCUUGAAGCAUCCAAAAUUGUCACAGUAGACCACUUAGUUGCAUCCAAAUAGAGUUCAAAUUUGGGGAAUGAAUCCUCAUUUUCUAACCUGCCAUACUGAAAUGUUGCACGAACAAUAUACCUUCUUCUCUCUUUGGUGCUUAAAUUGUAACAGUACUUCUUGCUGUCUAUAGGGAAGUCUCUGCGUCUCCGAUACUGCACCCACUUUCCAUUUGGAUUUUUUACUUCUACUGGUUUGCCAUGGUUCAUAAUUCCAUUGUCUGAAAUCCAUUCUAGCCCUGUCCUUGGAUCAGUAUAGUUACUUGUGCUUCCACAAUCUAUACUGAUGAACUCUAUGGGUGGAAAUAGAUCAUAACACAUAUCAUUAAAACUGUUAGUAACUAUAUCACAAUUCUAAUGAAUAGCAGAAUAACAGUAUUAGCCUGCAAGACACAGAUUGCCAUUCUUAUAAUUUCUACAGUAUCAUUGUGUGAGUGACUUUUGUUCUAGCAGGCAAUAGACGAGGGAAAUUAAGUGGGUUAGAUUUCUCUAACACUCCUCUAGUUAGAGCAAGAAAAUGCAUUCUUGUUUCUACAAGAAACAGAUUUAUUGAUAUAACCUCAAAUUGAAUGGAAAUUUCUUCAAAGAACAGAAUUAUUGCAGAUUCAAGAAAGAACAUACCUGUAACUUGGCACACAACUGAAGAUACAAAGAAAAGAUAAAAAACCAGAAAAUGAGGAUACAAAGCCAUUGAAGAACAGGAGGACAAGCCAAUCCUUAUGAUGUAUUGUUGUGUUAAAGUAUUUUCAGUGAUUACUGAUAAAAUCUUUAGACGUUAAGUAUCUAUCUCAUUUUUCUUCCCCCCCCCCCCACUACUCACGCUUCACCUUUUUCUUUUUUUCCUUUUCUUUUGGAUUGAUUGAUGAAUUUGUGAAAUGUUCAUUCACGGUUGUAUCCACUAUCCUCA